rnacentral:rRNA from 1 species
CGGGUGAGUAAUGCCUAGGAAUCUGCCUGGUAUGGGGGACAACGUUUCGAAAGGAACGCUAAUACCGCAUACGUCCUACGGGAGAAAGCAGAGGACCUUCGGGCCUUGCGCUAUCAGAUGAGCCUAGGUCGGAUUAGCUAGUUGGUGAGGUAAUGGCUCACCAAGGCGACGAUCCGUAACUGGUCUGAGAGGAUGAUCAGUCACACUGGAACUGAGACACGGUCCAGACUCCUACGGGAGGCAGCAGC